AAAAAAGUGAAAAGAUUAGACCUUGAUUUUUAGGUUAGGUUAGGUUAGGUUAAUACACUGAAAACUUGUUUCUUAGAUAUGCUGUCAUGAAAUGGAGAUGUAAUAUUUCUAUUGUGAUAUGCUGUCAAACAUAAUAUAUAUGUCUUUAUUACACUCUGACAUUUCUCCUUACAAUGUAUCAUUACAUUUUAACCAUACAUAGUUACUGUCAAAUAUGAUAUAUGUACUUGCCUUUAUUACACUUAUGACAUUUCUUGCAUACAAUACUACAUUUUGACUGUACAUAUUUACCAUCUUGAAAAUUCUCCUAAUAAAAGUGCACUCCUUUCAUCAGUGAUCCAUUAAACAAGCCUUUCUUGCAGGAUGAGAGUACAGACUGCAGGCACGGAGUGUUUGACGAGGCAGUUAUCGCCACAGCACUUAGGGAAGUACUGAAGGGCCUUGAGUAUUUCCACAACAACAGACAAAUCCACAGGUAUCACCCGGAGGCAGAGUCUGCGUGCCGAGGACGGCAUUGUUUACCCAUCAGUGAAUAGCUCCUGGUGACCUAAGGUAAAGCACAGCAACAAAACUGUAAGCAUCCAAAAUUAGUCAAUGAUGGGUCGCGUGAAGCCUGAUGGAGUCGUCAGUUAUGGAUGCUGCUUCCGUGGCAGCUGGACCAGCACUGGUGUUGGAUGUGUAUGAACAGCUACACAAGCAUCUCAGCUGCUGUGAGAUGUAUGAUGACUGUGUUCUAGCACAUGAUGGAUAUGCAACUCAAAUAUAUCCACAUUUUUUCCAUAUGUGCUUUUCACCUGCAUUUUUGCUGUAUAGAUUUCUUUUGUGGUGACUACAGUCGGCUCGCCACUAAUGUGCAGUAUUCUGAUGCAAAUCACGUAUACUGCCUGGGAUCAGCUUGCUUGCGAGUCGUACCCUAACGGAAUUUAAAGCCUACUGCAUGGAUGGUCCGCAACAAAUUGUAAAAAUGUCUGUAACACUGAUAUCGAGGUAGCAAGUGCAGUUCCAAUCCCAACAUCACUAGCACUAUACACAGUGAUGCAAGUUUGGUGAGAAGAAUGAGCUGUAACUGCUGCAGCUGCCACCAUUGAUAGUGACAUCAACAGUGAGCAUUCAUCAGCUGUUUGUGUAAACAGUGGCUCAGUGUGGUCUUUUAAUGAAUGUUUGUGUACUGUAUAAGUCUUAAUUCAUUAUUUAAAAAAAUAUUUUUACAA